rnacentral:lncRNA from 1 species
UUCCAAAGCAGCCGGGCAGAGCUCAGCCUCGGCACAGAGCAGAACAUGUCGGUAACACGAGGCCAGGCGAGGGGACUCCUGCAAGGCGGCGCUCCGUUGGCCCAGCUGGCGUCCGAAGCGCCGAGCGCAGGCGCCACGGCAAGGACAAGCAAGAAAAGGGCGACGGGCCGAAGUAAGCCCACAGCCCAGAUCUCAGAACAACAUACGCUCAAGGAUGUGAAGUGGAUCCCCAUCCUCAUUCAAGCUUUCCGGCCAGGGAGUAACGUCGUUCCCGAGGACCCCGAGUACCACAGAACGUGUCCCUCCUGUUCCUCCAGCCUGCAGGAGACCCAGGACGGCCGCGGCCAGUGCCUGACGUGCCCCGGCGGCCCCGGGUUCUGCUGGCUCUGCCUCUGUCCCUGGCAGGGCCCUGCCGAUGGUGGCGUCUGUCCCAACCAGUCCUGCCACCUGUGUCCUACGUGCCAGUCCCACCUUCAGAAGCUUCCCGACUGGAGCGGCCAGCACGACCUGUCCAAAAUUCUGCUGGCUAUGCCGGAGUCCCUGGAAAGGCCCCGGUGGUGUCUGCUGGAACAAGUUGUGUAAUGUGGUGGAUACGAUCCGCUGUUCCGCACCUGUCCCAGGUGCCGCAGUGUCAUGAUGCACGGCUCAGGGUGCAAAUAUGUCUGCUGCAUGUCAUGCCUCAUCUGUCUGCGCUCAACUGCUCAACCUGAGUCCCCUCCAAAAAAAACACUAUCAACACACAUUGUGGGGAAAAAAGCGAAAAUCACAAAAACAGAAUCCUAAGACAUUUGUUAGGAAUGACCUUCAAGUUAUAUCAGAAAGAUUAAGCAGCCACACAUAUAUUCACAACUGAUAUGUUACUCUUCUGCGUAUUUGUAGAAAAGCUGUAGCAAGAACUUUAGAGUGGACUGAGCCUUAUCUCACACACACUGAUUUCUUUUUAUAUUCUUCACAAUUUGCACAAAUCAGUUUUAUCUUUGGGCUCAAAUUGCGAGUCGUUUAUUCUAACAUUUCUUACUUCAACAAUCUGAACCAGCGGUUUCAUUUUGUUUAAUCAAUGAAAUUGUACUGUACUCAAUGUAAUUAUAAAUAAAUAUAAUUAUUUAAGGACUGCCUGC